UACGGGGGGGGCAAGCGUUGUUCGGAAUUACUGGGCGUAAAGCGCGCGCAGGCGGUCUGUUAAGACCGAUGUGAAAUCCCCGGGCUUAACCUGGGAACUGCAUUGGUGACUGGCAGGCUUUGAGUGUGGCAGAGGGAGGUAGAAUUCCACGUGUAGCAGUGAAAUGCGUAGAGAUGUGGAGGAACACCAGUGGCGAAGGCGGCAUCCUGGACCGAUACUGACGCUGAGGAGCGAAAGCCAGGGGAGCAAACGGG
rnacentral:rRNA from 1 species